CUACAUGUGGCUAUGACAGUCCUUCUUUAAGUUGACAGUUUGGAGCCAGGCUCAUGUAUGCCUAUAACUCUGGGUGCGGUGAUCUGGGAAGAACAGCAGAGCAAAUGUUGCAUUACUAUUACUGAUUUGGUUUUCUUUCAAAUGCAGAAGUUCCAACAGACAGAUCUUUAAGAAUACCAAAGUCUGCUAAUAAGCCACCUAUGUACCAAAAGUAAUGAGUGUGAUAUGCAUGGAAAUUAAGUUUUUCCCUGAGGUGGAAAUUACAUUUUAAAAGAAGAGCUGGUAAUCUUUUAUAAGUAAUGAUCCAUGAGCUAUGUUUUCAGAAGGUCUGUUCUUUGAAAUAACUGUUGUGCCCGCAUCGCACACACACAGGGAAGCAACUUUUUGAAGUUGUAUCUCUGCCUGCUUUGUUCUGCUCUGUAACCAGCCCUGCAGUCCUUUGCAGUAGGUGGCCUUCCUCUGCGCUUGUGCUUGCUUGUUAGACCUAGCCACAUCCUCAUCUUUUACGGGAAUGCUGCUAAAAAUGGCUGAACCUGAGGAGACACCUGGUGGAGAAUGGAAGCAUUCAUCUCUCUUGGAAAACAUCAUUGGUAUCGUUCCUCUGGAUCACUCAUCUCCUCUGCCAUCAUGAUAACCAACAACACUGGAAUGCAAGAGUCAAGAGAGCAGGAGGCUUGUCUGCCUUGGUUUCUCUUCACCUAGUGGCCAGCAGAGUCUCUAGUGCUUUGGAGCUGCUUAGUAAAUAUCAGCUGGCUGACAGAGGACCCCAUAGUCAACAACUUGACACUCAACAAAUGGACAUGGGAAAGCAAGCCUGCAAAGAUGAAUCUAAAAAGCAAGACAAAUGAAUAAACAAAUAAGCAAACAAAAAUUAGAAUCAGACCUAUAAAUGCAGAGAAUAAAUGGGUAGUUGCCAGAGGGAAGGGGGUAGAGGAAUUAGCAAAAUAGAUGAAGGGUCAUGGGAGAUACAGACUUCCAGUUUUGCAAUGAGUAAGUCACAGGGACAAAAGGAACAGAGUGGGGAAUGUAGUCGCUGAUAUUCUAAUAGUAUUGUAUGGUGACCAAUGGUAACUCU
rnacentral:lncRNA from 1 species